GUCCCAGCUGAAAAAAUUAUUCAUUCAUAUGUUAUUUGCUCAAAAUGUCUGACUGUGAUGAUUCAUUAAUUGAGGUUAGAAAACUUAUUCUGUGUAAAUGCCUACUGAACUUCUUAUUGCUGCUUGUUCAGCUUCAUUAUGUACCCUAUUCUAAACUAGUAAUGUUGACUAUUCCUUGGUAGUUUUUGAGUUGAAAAACUGAAACUUACCUUCCAUCUGCAGCCCAUUGCCCAUGUAAAUUGUUCCCUUGGCAGCCCAGGUGAGCAUAAACAAUCAUACAUAUCACUCCAAGAGCUUCUACACCAAAAUUACAUCCUGUAAUCAUUCUGGCUGAUGGCUUGAAGCUUGACACCACAUAACCAGAUGCGAUCACACCAAUUGCUGAACUAAUUAGUCCUACGUUUCCUAUAUAACAAAUGUGAGAUUACAACAAGAAAUUCCAUACUGCA